GAUAUGUUUGGAAGAAACGAGAAAAAUUGAAUAAAACAAUCGAACUUGGCCAUCUCUUCUCACAACAUCUGUAGUAACAGUGAGAGAACUCGAGAGGGAAUCAAGUGAAUAAAAAUCAGGUGAAUUUAUACUAGAUUUCUGAGUUCAAUUCAGAGAAAAGAAAGUGAUAGUUAUGAACUUGUGGAUCACUUAGUUCCAUGGAGAUUUGAAAGUUUUUGGAAAGGGGUUUCUUUUCUUCUCGUCCCGGAUUUGAAAUUAAAGGUGCUCUCCGAUUCGAUAGGCGGGCUGCGGAGUUGAGGUUUGAGUUGUGAGUUGAGUGGCAGGAAAUAUUUGUGCAAGUGGCGAAGAAGCGGGAGAAAGUGAUUUUAGGGUAUGGGUUGAAUAGGUUGCUUCAACUCACGUUCUCGAGAGAUUGUUACUGAUCUCGUGUUGGUUUGACCUGUCAUAUAUGUAUAUAACUUGUAAAUGGUAUGUGUUAAUGCUUAUAAGUAGUACCCACCCCUGUAUUUUGUAUGUAAUUAGCUAUCGCAAACACUCUUUUAAGUGAAUGGCUAGAAGUCCUACUGUUGUUUAAUAUAAUUCUGUGUAGUUUGGUUUUGAUC